rnacentral:rRNA from 1 species
UACGAAGGGGGCUAGCGUUGCUCGGAACCACUGGGCGUAAAGGGUGCGUAGGCGGGUCUUUAAGUCCGGGGUGAAAUCCUGGAGCUCAACUCCAGAACUGCCUUUGAUACUGAAGAUCUUGAGUUCGGGAGAGGUGAGUGGAACUGCGAGUGUAGAGGUGAAAUUCGUAGAUAUUCGCAAGAACACCAGUGGCGAAGGCGGCUCACUGGCCCGAUACUGACGCUGAGGCACGAAAGCGUGGGGAGCAAACAGG